CCUACCCCGCCAGCAGCCCGACCCGCGGGUGCCGGAGAUCUGACUCACCGGCCCCACUCCCGGCAGAGCCGGCGGAGGUCGGACGGGUGUCCCAGAGGAGGCAAAGCAGCCCCUCCUCUCCGGCCCGCGGCUACCUGCCACCGCCACCUCCCGCUGCUCCUCCGCCUCCCCGCCCCCAGCCUCGUCUGCAGUCCCCUUCCGCUCCGCCCGCACUGGCAGGACUGAGUGGAAACGGGCUCCGGGCUCCGGGGGGGACUGGGACGGUGAGUGGGGGUUCUCCCUGCCCACGCCCCCCUGGGCCCUGUGUGUGACCUGGAGGCGGGGUGUGAGCGCCAACCUCCAGGGUCCUCGGAGGAGCCUAACUUUAAAUCCUGGGCAGCCGCCUAUGGCUUCUAGGAAUUCGCAUCACCCGCGCCCCCGCCUGCAGAUCAGUUAAGCUUCGCGGGAGGGAGAGACCGGGGCGGAGGUGGGGGCGGGGCGGCGGCGGCGGCGGCCGGCGGGCUUGGGGCUGGCGAGCCCCCGAGGACGCGCGCGGACCGCACUUCGGCGCCCUCCCAUCUGAGAAUCUGUGGGCGCCGGGGCAGCUCCGGGGCCAGCGGAGCCUGCGUUCGGUGGAGCCCUCCACUGGUCUGGCCGGAUUCCUCCGCCCUGGACUCUGCGCCCCUGGCUAUGCCAAAGGGAAAGACCUAGGCUCUUUUUUUCUUUAAUUGAACGUGGAAUUUUACCAAAUUGUCGCCUGAGUUCCAACGCACGCCCUACCUUCGAAGUAUGGAGACCUAUGACGUUUCGGCAUUAUAUCACCCGCGGGUGCUUCCUUUUCUCUCGUUCUGUGCUGCCAGCCUUCACUGCCAUCUAAGCAUUUUACUCUCUUUGUCACCGGGAUUUCUCACAGCUACAAGCAUGUGUGGCCAUGUAUGAUAUAAAGCAUGCAGUGCAGACCUUCUCUGACAGAGACUUCUCCACCUGCUGGAGCUAGCGAGAGACAAGUCUUCGCACCCAAGUGUGAGAUGCUACCGGAGGACUCGCCUUAGCCUACAAGCAACCCAGGCAGUUCCGGCAAAGUCUUCCGAAGGCUCUGCAGCAGCAGCAGGGCGUAGGAAGCCUGGCCAGGGCCUGCCACGAAGCCUGGGCCAUGAACACACUUACUGACCGCAGCUGAGUUCCGGAGCCGUGGAAAUCUCAUACCAGAUCAGAACAGCCCUGCAUUUAAGGGCUUCUGAAUCAUCUUGAAUCAUUCAUUCAUCCAUGUCAGUAACAGACAUGAUGCCAGCUCUUAUGAAGGGGCCACGCCCUUGGGUGCUCUCCUAAGGGAGAUGAAUGCCAAUCAAAGAAUCAUAAACGCAAAGCUGCAGC